GCCCCCGAGGAGCGUUGCGACGGUUGAGCGGCUCGAAAAAGCCCAUCCGCCAGGCUCGGUGGCCUUCAAUCCGGACGGCUCGAAUGCGCCUUAUCAAGCGCCCGCAGAGCCACCGCAUCGAACGGCGCUCACGUCAA
rnacentral:ncRNA from 1 species